UAAUGGUACCACCCUAAUAGAAUACAAAACAUCAGCUUCAUGAAUGUCAUACUAUUUAGCCUUGUCAUUUGAUGUUUCACUAACAUGCUGUUUUCUCCUCUCUCCACAGUAUAGCAAACACGUUGGUGGUGAUCCAGUCUCCUCAUAAUGUAACAGUAACAGAGGGGGACACUGUUCAGAUCCAGUGCUGCUGGAAUACAAAUGUGUUAAGAGCGACAGUUCAUUGGCAUAAAGAAGGACACMCCGAGAUAAAAUAUARUAGUUUACGGGUCAACAACAGUCAGUGUCAUGACAGGGCAUCUCAACAGACUGUAGCCUGUAACUGCUCACAUUGGACCAUCUCAAACCUCACUAGAAUUGUCUCCGGUACUUACAUCUGUAAAGUUACUAUAGAGAUACCAUCUCUUAUUGAAUCUGUGGGGAAUGGRACACGGAUAACAGUUACAGCCAGAGAGAAUAAAAGCAAAGUGGUUAUUGAGACCUCGGAGGACAUAGCAGUCCCCUACACCUUGAGAUGUCUCCCAGUCAUUAUACUGGUGGCCAUAUUCUGUUACUAUAGCUACCAGUGGAAGAAAAGUCAAUCUGUAGCUAAGAGACCAAUGGACACUUUCUUCCUAGAGAAGAAAGAGACUGACACGACGCUGUGACUUCCUGUUGAUCAUCAUGGACCUCCACCAUGUCACCUCUCUACAGGGACACCUGCAGAACACCACAACAGAGUUACUCAUCACUGUUAGUUCACCACUGAUGGAGUGAUGCUUAGUAACUACCGUAGUUAGGAGCUUUAGCUUAAACAUUUCAUUUGUGUGUGAAUUGUUCAAUUGUUCACACUAUGUGCAUGUAGUAGUUGAUGGUUAUAAUUUAAAAAAUAAAUACAUACGUUGUAAAACAGUUGUAUUUGGUUUGUUUUAAAGACUUAAUAAAACAAAUAUUGCACCAUA